rnacentral:rRNA from 1 species
ACCUACGGGGCGCAGCAGUGAGGAAUAUUGGUCAAUGGGCGCAAGCCUGAACCAGCCAAGUCGCGUGAGGGAAGACGGCCCUACGGGUUGUAAACCUCUUUUGCAGGGGAGCAAGCCUGAGCACGUGUGCCCAGGCGGAGAGUACCCGGAGAAAAAGCAUCGGAUAACUCCGUGCCAGCAGCCGCGGUAAUACGGAGGAUGCGAGCGUUAUCCGGAUUUAUUGGGUUUAAAGGGUGCGCAGGCGGGCUGUUAAGCAGGCGGUAAAAAUUGAAGCCUAAACCCUGGA